UACGUAGGGUGCGAGCGUUGUCCGGAAUUACUGGGCGUAAAGAGCUCGUAGGUGGUUUGUCGCGUUGUUCGUGAAAACCGGGGGCUUAACCCUCGGCGUGCGGGCGAUACGGGCAGACUUGAGUACUGCAGGGGAGACUGGAAUUCCUGGUGUAGCGGUGGAAUGCGCAGAUAUCUGGAGGAAUACCGGUGGCGAAGGCGGCAUCCUGGACCGGCAUUGACGCUGAGGAGCGAAAGCCAGGGGAGCAAACGGG
rnacentral:rRNA from 1 species